rnacentral:rRNA from 1 species
AGCAGCCGCGGUAAUUCCAGCUCCAAUAGCGUAUAUUAAAGUUGUUGCAGUUAAAAAGCUCGUAGUUGAAUUUCGGGAUCAAUAUUUCGGUCAUGCCGUUGGUAUGCACUGUUAUCAUUGAUUUCUCACCUUCUAAAGAACCGUAAUGCCAUUAAUUUGGUGUUACGGGGAAUUAGGACUGUUACCUUGAAAAAUUAGAGUGUUUAAAGCAGGCUCACGCUUGAAUACAUUAGCAUGGAAUAAUGAAAUAGGACGUUUGAUUCUAUUUUGUUGGUUUCUAGGAUCGACGUAAUGAUUAAUAGGGAUAGUUGGGGGCAUUAGUAUUCAAUUGUCAGAGGUGAGAUUCUUGGAUUUUAUUGAAGACUAACUACUGCGAAAGCAUUUGCCAAGGAUGUUUUCAUUAAUCAAGAACGAAAGUUAGGGGAUCGAAGACGAUCAGAUACCGUCGUA